rnacentral:rRNA from 1 species
UGGGGAAUAUUGCACAAUGGGCGCAAGCCUGAUGCAGCCAUGCCGCGUGUAUGAAGAAGGCCUUCGGGUUGUAAAGUACUUUCAGCGAGGAGGAAGGCGUUGUGGUUAAUAACCGCAACGAUUGACGUUACUCGCAGAAGAAGCACCGGCUAACUCCGUGCCAGCAGCCGCGGUAAUACGGAGGGUGCAAGCGUUAAUCGGAAUUACUGGGCGUAAAGCGCACGCAGUCGGUCUGUCAAGUCGGAUGUGAAAUCCCCGGGCUCAAGCUGGGAACUGCAUCCGAAACUGGCAGGCUAGAGUCUUGUAGAGGGGGGUAGAAUUCCAGGUGUAGCGGUGAAAUGCGUAGAGAUCUGGAGGAAUACCGGUGGCGAAGGCGGCCCCCUGGACAAAGACUGACGCUCAGGUGCGAAAGCGUGGGGAGCAAACA